CAACUUUUGAAGACUUGGGGAUAUGGGUGGAUGUCUUUGCUACUAGUGAAGUCAGCAUUUGCUUGAGGUUGGACCCAUCAAAACUUUGGAGCAGAUAGCUUAUUCAGCAGGCAAGCGUAUGAUAUCAUGCUCCAUGUUGCUGCUUGGAACUUGACCAUGUUGUGGAAGAACUGGAGAAAAUUGUUGUUCUCAAUCUUCUUCAGCACCGAUCAAUAAUAUCUCUCAUUGGAGAUGUGCAGAAAUCAUCACUAAUAUUAGAGAAGAUGUUGUACUGUGUUUUGCCAAGUACUUAGAAAGCAUUCCUUAUUGUCUUUUGUUCUCUGAUUGAUGACAAGUGGUGUUCAAUUGAUCAAAGAGGUUUAUCAGCUAUAUAUGUAUUUUAAUCUGGUAUUCAUGUUUUGGUGCAUUUUAUAUAAAAUUUAUUAUUUGGCUUC